ACAAGUGUUAUCUAGACACACGGCAGUGUGUCCGCCAAGUUCGAGCAAAAAAACCGACACACCGGCCGUGGGUUAUAUUACACGAACCAUUUCGGGCCAAGUUCGACCCACCUAUAACUCAAAAUCUAUUUUAUCUACGCAUAUGAAAUUUCUAGUAUCUGUCGAGAUCUACUUACUUAUCUAAAAUACAAAAUUUCAUUAAUGUACCUAUUGUAGGUCUUGAGAUAUUGACGUCAGAAAAUCGCUAUUUUUACUAUACACUCACUGACUGACUCACUCACUCAUCAAAAACCUAGACCACUUCCAAUGGUCGUAUUGACUUGAAAUUUGGCAUGGAGGUAGGUCUUUAGGUCAAGGUAAAGGAAAAAAUCUGAAAAUGGCCAAGUGUGAGUCGGUUUUAAAAAUAAUGAAGGUGUAAAUUCAUACCCCUAAGGAACUAAAACAAAAAAAAUAUCUAUAUCUUCCAAUGGUCGUACCGACCUAAAAUUCUUUACGAAGGUUUGUAUUUAGUCAAAGUAAAGUAAAAUAAGAAAAAAAGAAAAUAAACCUUACAAAAAUAAAUGAAAUCCCACCCAAAACAUAAAUGUGAAAGGCUGCCAAGUUCGAUAAUAUUGGAAUGCUUCGCCUAUAAAAGAAGUGAGAUCUAAAUAAGUACCAAGUUCCAUACAAAGACCUCAGUUAAAAAUGAUAUAACUUGGCAAGUUUUAAUAGAAAAUUAUAUACUUGACUCAUUGCUUUUAGUAGGUUUAUAACAAAGUGUGUGAAAACUUGCCAACUUGUUAUAUCAUUUUUAACUGAGGUCUGUGUAUGGAACUUGGUACUUAUUUAGAUCUCACUUCUUUUAUAGGCGAAGCAUUCCAAUAUUAUCGAACUUGGCAGACUUUCACAUUUAUGUUUUGGGUGGGAUUUCAUUUAUUUUUGUAAGGUUUAUUUUCUUUUUUUCUUAUUUUACUUUACUUUGACUAAAUACAAACCUUCGUAACGAAUUUUAGGUCGGUACGACCAUUGGAAGAUAUAGAUAAUUUUUUUGUUUUAGUUCCUUAGGGGUAUGAAUUUACACCUUCGUUAUUUUUAAAACCGACUCACACUUGGCCAUUUUCAGAUUUUUUCCUUUACCUUGACCUAAAGACCUACCUCCAUGCCAAAUUUCAAGUCAAUACGACCAUUGGAAGUGGUCUAGGUUUUUGAUGAGUGAGUCAGUCAGUGAGUGUAUAGUAAAAAUAGCGAUUUUCUGACGUCAAUAUCUCAAGACCUACAAU